rnacentral:misc_RNA from 1 species
CGAAAUUUCGGGUAAAUUGCCACUAGAUUCCAUUUCUUUAAGUAAUUCACUAACCUUCUCUAACUUAUUCAAUUUCCCAAAUGUUUCAACGAGAUUACGGUAAGUUGUUAUAUCAGGCACCAUUCCUCCUUCAUUCAUUGUACGAAAAACCAUCUCAGCCUCAUCCCCUAAACCCCUAUUAGCACAAGCACAAAGCAAAGUAUUAUAAGUAACAAUAUCAGACUGUACCCCUUCAUGCCUCAUUUCGGCAAAUAA